GUCUCCAUGGCGGUGGCGGCGGCAGCUGCGGCGGGACCCGUGUUCUGGAGGCGACUGCUGGGCCUCCUGCCUGGCCGCCCAGGGCUGGCCGCGCUCCUGGGACGCCUGUCCGACCGCCUCGGCAGGAACCGGGACCGCCAGCGCAGGAGGUCACCAUGGCUGUUAUUGGCUCCCUUGCUGUCCCCAGCUGUUCCCCAGGUCACCUCCCCACCUUGCUGCCUGUGUCCAGAAGGCGUGCACCGGUUCCAGUGGAUCAGAAACCUGGUUCCAGAAUUUGGAGUCUCCAGUUCUCACGUUAGGGUGCUUUCUUCCCCGGCAGAGUUUUUCGAGCUCAUGAAGGUGGACUGCCUGGAAAGUACUCUAGAAAAGUCACUCCAAGCAAAGUUUCCUUCAAAUCUCAAGGUCUCCAUUCUCUUAGACUUCACGCGGGGCUCACGAGGUAGGUGGCAUGCAAGCCUGGCCCCUCCUGCUUCCUGUGUCAGAUCCUCAGUCCCAAGAGGGGUUACUGUCACCCCCUCAUCCCCAGGCAGAGUCAAGGCUAUUUGAAGAUCAUCCAAGCUGGCCCAGGGCUGCCUGAUUGUGUGAGUUAGGAUUUUUUUCUUCAGCAAGUGACUGAAAGCCCAACUAAAAACAGCUUAGGCAGGAGCCGAGUGCAGUGGCAUGCCCUGUAGUCCCACUUGCGUGGGAGGCUGAGGUGGGAGGAUUGCUUGAGCCAGGAGUUUGAGUCCAGCCUGGGCAACAUAGCCAGACUUUGUCUCAUGAAAAACUGCCUUAGGCAAAAAGACUUUUUGUGGACUCCUGUGACUGAUCUGCUUUGGGUGGCUUGUGAUUUGGGGUUUGGCCGUGUCACCAGGAUUCAUCCCCUAGCUGUUUCCUUUGGGCUGGCUUCCUUCUCAGGCUCUGUGUGGUGGCCCCUGGUGGCUUAGGCUUGUCUCCCCAUGACACCUUGUCUUUUGGAAGAGUCUGAUUCCAUGAGAAUCGGGUCAAAGCUCCUGACUGGCCUGACGGUGGCAUGCCCAGCUGGGAGCUUGGAGUGUGCCGAGUAGCCCAGCCCAGGCCUGCGUGCUCCCUCAUGGAGCUGGGGGUGAGGGGCAAGGUGGGUAGGGUCGUCUUCACCCAGAGCAGAAAUGCUGCGAGUGGGUGGGGUAGUGCCCCAGGAGAAGGUUGGGUGCAGUUACCAGGAGAAGGGUGAAUGGGUGCUGUGUGGC
rnacentral:lncRNA from 1 species